rnacentral:tmRNA from 1 species
GACAAAAGACUUAUCCAGCUAAGGAAGAUAUAGGUUCGUUCUUGUCCGGCAUCUUCCCGACAAGCAAUCAGGAAAUAAGCAUGUAGAAAGCGUUUGCAGAAUGUGUUUGGACGCGGGUUCGAUUCCCGCCGGCUCCACAA